rnacentral:rRNA from 1 species
UUUUCGGACAACGGAUAUAGAGGACAGUGGCGGACGGGUGAGUAACGCGUGAGGAACCUGCCUUUCAGAGAGGGACAACAGUUGGAAACGAUCGCUAAUACCGCAUGACAUAGCGGAACCGCAUGGUUUUGUUAUCAAAGAUUUUAUCGCUGAAAGAUGGCCUCGCGUCUGAUUAGCUAGUUGGUGAGGUAACGGCCCACCAAGGCGACGAUCAGUAGCCGGACUGAGAGGGUGAUCGGCCACAUUGGGACUGAGACACGGCCCAGACUCC